rnacentral:lncRNA from 1 species
CGGAAGUUGCUAAACAUUCCACCCACUGCUGAUGACGCAGAAGCCUUGGGAGCUAUUCGUCGUGCCAAGGAUAACUUUUAGGUCGGGCAUGUGAAUUUGCCUAUAAAUGACCCAGAGAAUGUGUUAGAUACAAUGUGCCUUAACAAUUUUUGUAUAGGGAAAGUACAUCUACCAGACAACGAAUACCUGAUUCCUGUUCAUGUUUCUCUUAGCUUGGAUGGAGAGUCCACAUUCUGCGGGAGACUGUCCUUCUGAUACACAUAUGGUUAAAUUUGGCCCAAUAGAG